ensembl:ncRNA F45B8.18 ncRNA
CGUCUCAAAUAGAAGCCAAAACAAAUUUCUUGACAAAUAUCUACGCCCGUGUGUGUGCGCGUCCCAAAACGCGAUUCCGAAUCCAAUCACCUCUCGUCAUGCAUACCGAUUGCAGACGGGAAGCCGCUUGGGAAUAUACG